CAACAGAGCAAAACGAAGCGAGAUAUGUUGAGCCAACAAAGGCGCAGUUGGAAAAUUUAGUAAUUAGUAAUGAAGUAGCAGGCAUAUUUGGAAAAUUAUGCCGAUAAGCACGAUGGAAUUUGGGAAAAAAUGUUAUAAAUCGAGUGGCUCAUUUACGAUGUGCGCCAAACAUUUGGCGAACUUUUUUUCGCCUUUUCAACGUGCUAAGUAACAAGUUAAGAUCACGGCCGGUAAGAAACCGCAAGCAAAGGGCAGACAACCUUCCAGGAAGCUGCCUCCUGUCCCCGAGUCCAAGCUGCAGGUCAGGAAAUAUCAAACAAGUAAACUCCGUAAUGGACGCCGUGAGAUGGAGUUGGCCUGAAAAAUCCAAAUGGCUUUUGUGAUCCGUAUCCGCGGUAUCAACAAAGUUGCACAAAAAGUGCGUAAAGUUUUACAGUUCCGUCUUCGCCACAUUAAAACGGUGUGUUCAUCAAAUUGAGCAAGGCAACCAUUAAUAUUCUACGUAUGCCGAACCCUAUAUGGAGUUAUCCAAAUCUUAAAUCAGUUCGUGAAUUGAUGUACAAACGUGGAAUUGUUAAGCACAACCAUCAACGUGUCCCAAUCUCUGCUUUGUGAUCGAACGCAAAUUUCGCGAAGCGCUGAUUAUUUGGCGCACGAAAUAUUCACUGUUGGAACCCACUUCAAGAAAGCCUCUAACUUCCUGUUGCUAUUCAAGCUCAACACAUCAACCCGAGGCUGGUGCAAGAAGGCUAAUCACUACGUUGAGGUUGGUGAUUUCGGUAGCCGUGAGGAUAAGAUCAACAAAUUGCUGCACAAGAUGGCUUAAAGAAAUUUUUGUUUUGUAUUUAAA